rnacentral:rRNA from 1 species
GAUCCUGGUCAGGAUGAACGCUAGCUACAGGCUUAACACAUGCAAGUCGAGGGGCAGCGGGAUUGAAGCUUGCUUCAAUUGCCGGCGACCGGCGCACGGGUGAGUAACGCGUAUCCAACCUUCCGCAUACUCGGGGAUAGCCUUCUGAAAAGGAGAUUAAUACCCGAUGGUAUCAAGAGAUUGCAUGAUAACUUGAUUAAAGAAUUUCGGUAUGCGAUGGGGAUGCGUUCCAUUAGGUAG